GCGUUGGUGAAUCAGUGGUAGAAUACUUGCCAGCUAUGUAUGUGGUCCGGGGUUCGAUUCCCGGCCAACAUA
rnacentral:tRNA from 1 species